rnacentral:rRNA from 1 species
CCCUUAGAUGUUCUGGGCCGCACGCGCGCUACACUGAUGCAUUCAACGAGUCUAAAACCUGCUCUGAUAGGGGUGGGUAAUCUUUUGAAUGUGCAUCGUGAUUGGGAUAGAUGAUUGCAAUUUUUCAUCUUCAACGAGGAAUGCCUAGUAAACGCAAGUCAUCAGCUUGCAUUGAUUACGUCCCUGCCCUUUGUACACACCACCCGUCGCUCCUACCGAUUGAAUGAUCCGAUGAAUAUCAUGGAUUGAGGAUUAUAGCAGGUUCGCCUGUCUUGAUCUUCGAGAAGUGAAGUAAAUCUUAUCAUUUAGAGGAAGGAGAAGUCGUAACA